CUCAAUUCUCUGCCUCUACUGAUUUUGCCCGCAAUCGCUCAAUUCUCAUAGGAAGCUGUUGAAUCUGAGAGGAGAAUUUUUUUUGUUACUUCGCUCAGCUCUCCGGCAUUCUUCUUCUUCCUCUUUCUUUUUUCCUUUAUUUUUGGUGGAUUUCAUAGUCAUGUGUCUUUGGCUCUUCGGUUACAAACUACUCAAAUAGAAUACAGAAGGACUCUGUAAACAAAAAUUAUGCGGUCACAAGUGUUUCAAUUUUAUAGCAGUCAAUGGUAUUAAGAAGAACUCAAUGUGAAUAGAUGAAGGCUCUGUGAACAAAAUUACCAAAGGGAUUGAGUCAUUGUCCAACAAUAUAGAGAUGUUGCAGCAGCUCCUUGAUAGUGUUGACUAAUUGGCGAUGAAUUUCAGAAUCCUUCAAGAAACUUCUAUGCAUAAGUACGUGAAUUUCCUCUACUUUGUUCUCAGUAUCCCAUGAACUGAAGAAACUUGUGA